rfam:Thermosediminibacter oceani DSM 16646, complete genome.
UCAGCCUUUAAACUGGUCCUGUGAGGCUAGUAAGGCGAAGGGGUUUGACAUAAAUAUGAAGGAAAGCCUUUCUCCGCCUGACGGGGAAGGGCUUUUUUGAU